AUGGUGAGGGUGGGAGCCCUGGCGAUGGCUGUGCUGCUGCUUCUGGUGCCGGCCUCGGGGCACCCCGCCCUCGCCCGCCGCCUGCGCGAGCUUCGGCCGGGACAUGGAGUGAAGUAUCAACAAGUAUCAAUCACAACUGUUAAAAAUUAUGCAUACAAAACAUCAGUGAACGUGAUCUUAAAUCAAUCAACAUUGAGAAGGAGCAGCAGAAAUUUGAAAAGUUUCAAAAGAAAUUUAGAAGUACCUAGAAAAAAUGAUUAUAUGAACUGUCAACAAACAAACAUGCUAAAACGUGUAAUUCCUUCUAGAAGAAAAUUAUAUCUAAUUGCAAGGAGAUGCACACACAUUUCUAGAAGGCAUCUAAAAACAAACAAACAUAUUCAAGGGGGACAGUCAAGAAAAAUGUGGAAUACAAUUUUGAAUAAUAGGUUUCAAUUGAAAAUGAAAUGCCACAGUAUAGUUAAUGUUAGAAUUAAACCUGACACUAAAAGAAUUGAGGAAUCACAUAUAUGUGUUGAAAAUAAAUACAUAGAAACUGUGUCAUCACUGAGUUGUUUAGCACUUCAAGCAAAUUUUAUAUUAGAUGCUGUCCUAAAAUGUCAGGAAGUUUUUGAAAACAUUCUGAAAUUAAAGUUAAAUCAAGUACGAAUGCUAAAACAACAUAUUAACACAGGCAUGCUGCAAAUGAAAAAAUAUAAACAAUAUAAUGAUCAAAUAUCAGAUCAUAGCAAAGAAUAUUCUAAAGAAAACAGAAAUGCUUUUGAUAAAAUUAAUUAUGGAAUGUUUACUGAUAGACUAAAAGAAGUUAUUUCAGAGAAAGAAGGCCAAUAUAUGGAUUUUGGAAAUUAUGUGUUAUCAUGUCAAAGUUUUCAAUGGACCACAAGCUUUCCCAACAGAGAAAUGAUGAAGGUGUGGAAACAGAAAAUGCUAACUAAAAAAAACAUGAAUGAAAACCACAGGUGUCUGUUUGUGCAUGCAUGUACUUAUCAAAGAAAUAGUGAUGUACAGAAGAUGUUCUCAACACAUAACAUGUCUAAUAUUCAAGGAAAUGACAUAUUCACAUUUCGAAGACAAAUGUACAGAAAUAAAAAACUAAUUGGAAAAUGGAAAAAAGUGCAAAUGCAACCUUCUGUAAUACAUCCUGCCUUUCCAACUAUUAAAAUAGCUAUAGAAGUAUACUGUGGAAAAUUUAAUUCAGAAGUCAAUCCAGCAAAACCAUCAGUUCUUAUGAUGAACACACUGCAAUAUCUCAUACACUCCUCCCAGAGAGGAAAAAAAUAUUCUAAUGUUACCCAGGAGAGAUAUAGAAUUAAAAGUUUGAAAGCCCAUAUGGUAAGAAAGCAUCUUGAUACAGAAGAUAUAUUUCUCUGUAAACACAUUUCUAAUAGUCCAUUGGUUGUUAAAAGAACCAAACGAUCAGCACAAGGAGGAUCUGUACCAGUACCUGUUGAUGUUCUGAAGCGUUUAACCUCUGCUCUUAUAGCAGUUGCUACUAUUUUUGGGAUAGCUUUCCUUGCUUUGGCAUUAACAGGUUGUUACCUGUUUGAUAAAAGAAGGGAGCUUGGUCGGUUUUUUGACAUAAAGUUGAAAAAUAGAAAACCAAAAAAACAUACAAAACCUGUUGAAAAUCAAAGUUCCACACCUAUCUCUGUUUCGCAAAGGUUUCAUUUAGCACAAUCACAGGUAAAAUAG
rnacentral:lncRNA from 1 species